UGGAUUUGGUCGAAUAAAAGGAUGAAAUGACCGCUGUGCCCCCUCGCCAUGUCCUGUGGUUCACUGCCUCGCCCGCACCACCACCACCUCCACCUCCGUCCGCGCAUCUCCUCCCCCCUCUCGCCAUCGCUUGCCGGUUGUUUCAAUAUAAAUUGAUUUUUCUGGUUGGUUACAAGAAUCAAAAUUCAGAGAAUGAGAAAGGGUAGGGUUAGAUGGAAUCAAGAAAACUUGGAUGACAUUGAAGCAAAUAAACCAGUGAGGCAAAAAAUUACUGAACCCAAGACACCUUUCCACCAUAUGAUUGAUGACGAUGGUUCUCUUUCACCAAAACGAGCCUUUGAUGAAUGCAUGGAUAAUUCUGCCCACGCAGAAGCUCUCACUACUGCUUUGAAUGAUGUAGCUUCUUCAAGCAGAAGCUCAAAUGGGGAUUGGACCUCUUCUGAAGAAGAAACUGAUGCCAUGGAAGAAGAUGAUGAUUCUGAAGCAGAUGCUCCAAGGCUAAGUUUCAACGACCACCGGAAAGCUCACUAUGACGAAUUCCAUAAGGUCAAAGAACUCUUGAGAGCAGGAUCUUUCGCACAGGAUGAUGAAGACGCUGGUGAAGCUAAUGGUAGCCUGGACAAUGACAACGAGAGAGACCAUUCAACUUCUAGCCAACACACCCCCCCAAAUUCCAUGCCAAACAAACACGCCUAAUGGAUUAUGGAUGCUGCUCCCCCUGAAAAUAAUUGCAUACUGCCAGGAAGCAACUUGUCCAUGACGUCAUGGCAAACAGAUGCAGUCAAAAACAGGACAAUCAAUCCCAAAGGCCGAGGCAAGUCUGCCAAAGUGAAAUCCCCUCCUGAUCAUCCAUCAUUCAAAGAUGGAUUUCAUCAACCAACCCUAACCCUCAGAGAGGAGCAAUGAAAGAAAGAUGGUGUUUGUGAUGUGUGCUCUGGUUCCGAGAAGGAUGUGUUGUUGGGGUAAAGGGAGGCAGUGGGGAUCCUCUUUGUGGAUUCUUUUGGAUCCUCCAUGAUCUCUGUUCCUCCCAUCUGUUGUUAUCUUGUCUGCUGCAGAAUCCUUGAGUCAGUGGUCAGAGGAUCUACUCCGUGGUCACGCAGAUGGUGCAGAGGGUCGUGACUGUUCCUUUGUUGGGGGAAACAUGAUCAAAAGCAAACGUUAGUAGAAGUGUACUGAACAAGGUGAGUAUUGCACCUGAUAUCUAUCUGUUCAGUUUUGUGCCCAUUGGGUUAGGCCUCUCUCUCUCUCUCUCUCUGCUGGUCUCACUGUGUGUGGGUCCCGAAUGACCUGACCUGACCGUUCGACGACGAUUGGGAUCAGAUUAACACAUUGACUGCCUUAGCUAAGUUCAAAUUGAACCUAACCAAUUUAGUUCAGAUUUUCUUUUCCACCAAAG